AGUAAUGUCUCUGCUUUUGAAUAUGCUAUCUAGGUUUGUCAUAACUUUUUAAGUCUUACUCAGAUACUUUGUGGGAACAACAGACAUAGAAUCGAAGUUUUUAGCUUAAACUUUUUUCAUUACGAAUCUAAGAAAAAUAUGAAUCACUGACAAAAGUUAUAAGUACUCGAGAAUUAUAGCUGUUUUGUCAAGAUCCUUUUGUCAGUGUUCUGUUGAUAGACCUAGUAUUUUAUUUCCUCACCUCACUGGAACUUUAGGUGUGUUUCAUAUCUUUAAGUAUGAACUUUCUUUAAGAGAAGAGCAACGUAUAUUACUGAUAUGCUCUUGGCCACUUUUAAAACAUUGAAUAGAAUUUGCAUAAUACCAUUAGCCAGGAAAAAUGUACCUUUGGUGCCAGGCAAGUCUAAAUAAGAUUUUAAUGCAUGAUGAAAUUUAAACAUAAGAAAUACUGAAAAAUAAAAUUUUAAGUUUUGUCAAAACUCUCCAGUGAAUUACAGGAGAAUAAAUACAAAAAUAAUGUUUGGUCAAUAAGAUGAACAUCUACUCUAAAUGAUCUGUAUUUCUUGGUUGAACUUGGAAUAAAUGGGAUACAGUUUCAACCAUAUAAUCCUAUAAUUUUGCAUGCAUAGUUUAUUAUGGUUUCCUCCCCAGUGGAAAGUAGUUUCGUGAAUAUUGAAAUGUAACGGACAAUGAUUUUAAGUAAAUUUCUUUCCAUUUCUAACUGAAUUUACUUACUUAUUUACCUCUGAAAGAACUGAACAGUUCUCCUAGAGUGAUUCUAUCCUUUUUUUCACACAUGAUUUUAUAUUAUGUUCAAUAUAAACCUCAUAUAUACAAAAGUUGAAUGAAUAAUGGAGUUAAAGCUGGCAUAAGAAUGAAUACAUUGUCUUACAGGAUGCAUAUAAGCUCUACUACACUUUUUGUUUUUCAUACUGUGGUUUCAAAUUUUUUUCCUCUGCUUAGUCUGAAUUUUAAUCUACUAAUCUUUCUAGUCUUUCUUCCCUGCUCGAAAUCCUGAACCCCAGAGACUAGGAUUAUGUUACUGUCUCCAUCACAGGAUACAGUAAAUAUUGGGUGUGUUUGGUUAGGGAAGUGGAUGCCUGAUAGGUGGGUAAAAGAACUGAGGGAAUCAGUAGGUGGGUAGUUAGGUAUGUGAAUGGAAGGGUACAAAAGUGGCACCUCUUCCCUCCCACCAAAUUGCUGAAAUCCUGGAGACCUAAUAGUUAUCUGUAAUCUCUGCCGUUUUGAGUUUCAGCUUAUUGCAUUUUAGAGUAUGCUUUAAAACUACAAAGCAUGGAUGUGAAUUUGGACUCUCUAAUGUCUUAAAAGACGUUAUAAAAGGCUUAGACUGUUAAUUUUAUAACAGUGGAACAUCUUUGAUUUUUCCUAAAAUGAAUUUGUAUUUUAUAAAUGGUGUGUGACUUUAUGGCAAAGAUAUGACUUCUCCAGAGACAAUGAAUAUCUCAGUAUCUGAUUGUCCUCAUGGAACAUCUGUUGAUGUGAUUUAUGAUUUUUUAAAUAGAUAGUGAAAGUGAAAGUUGCUCAGUCAUGUCCAACUCUUUGCGACCCCACAGACUAUACUGCCCAUGGAAUUCUCUGGGCCAGAAUACUGGAGUGGGCAGCCUUUCCUUUCUCUAGGGGAUCUUCCCAACCCAGAAAUCAAACCGGUGUCUACUGCAUUGCAGGCAGAUUCUUUACCAGCUGAGCUAUCAGGGGAGCCCAUAAGACCAAUCUAUUUUGUUUGAUUAAAGUGAUAAUUAUAAAUAUUGGUUUAUCACUAAUCUCAGAUGUAAAUUCAUAGAGUGAGACAAAAAUAUGGAAGUCUUAUUUAAUUUCAGGGUUUUGUUUUUUUGUUUUGUUUUGUUUUUUUACUGUUUAUUAAUUCACUAGCUGGUAAGUAUUUUUCUUUGUUUUUCUCCAAUGACUUUAUACUGCUUUUUACACGAAUUUUGAUAGAGUGUUGAUAAACCUGGUAGCACUUCUGUUAGGGAUAUUAUGUAUUUUUAGCAGUGUGUCAUAAUCAGGCAAACUUCAGUUCAGCUUAGGACAUUUGUGUUGUCAAUUUGGAAAUGCUUUGCCAAGCCCUCACAAGAGUAUUGACAAAGAAUCACUUUUAAAGUAAAUCUCCUUAUAUUUUGUCUAGACUACUAAGUACUAACUACAUCUUCUCUGCAGAGAAUCAGAUUAGGCCAGGAGAGUUUUAUGUCUUCAUUAUGCCAUUACUGCAGUGCAUUGUGUUUGGAUAAAAUAUAAUUUCCUGGUAUCUCUAAGUAGGGUAUAAAUAAGCAAAAACUUUUUAGGAAUGAUAGCAAUUUUAUUACAUUCACAUGAGAACCUCAUAUAUGNNNNNNNNNNNNNNNNNNNNNNNNNNNNNNNNNNNNNNNNNNNNNNNNNNNNNNNNNNNNNNNNNNNNNNNNNNNNNNNNNNNNNNNNNNNNNNNNNNNAAUUUUAUUACAUUCACAUGAGAACCUCAUAUAUGUGCUUAUCAAAAUAUUUGUUGCUAUAAUAAACCAUAAAAUUGCUCGAUACUAAUUAAAUAGAUGUUACACAUUCAGUUGGCUACUAAAGUAUUACUGAUUUUCAUUUCUAGAUAUUGAGGAAACAAAAUAGUUUAUUAAAUAAAAAAUUACUUCUGAGACAUGUAACAGUUCAAGGGUUAAUAUAGAUAUUUAAUCCCUUGAUUAAAGGUCUGUAAUAUCUGCAAUAUUUGGAAAGCCUUACAUAAAAAAAUAUUUGCAUUACUGCCAGAAAGCAAUGGGAAUAAAUGAUAGCAUUUUGUUUGUUAGCAUGCCAUGACGUCCCCUUGAGUUACAAGUAUAUUUGGGACUAUAACAAUUCUGAUGAAAUAAAGUUAAAUACAGAUGAAAUAUUUUAAGUGACUGUCAUCCAUUUUUGAGUGCACUUCAGCAUCUCAGUAUUAAAUACCACAAUUGUCCUGAAGUUCACAAGGGUUACCAAAUGUGUGGAUCAUGUAUCCUAAAAUUUUAAAAAUAUAUUCUAGAAUGUGUAUUAUAUUUUUUCUUCACAGGUUAAAACCUAUGAUAUUUAGAAUGGAAGCAUUAAAUAUCACAUGAAUUAUUUCUAGCCUUUUUUUUUUUUUCAGUUCAGUGGUUAGUUUUCAUGGAGAGGCCAAUUUAAUCUGUGUGAAUAAAAGAAACAGAUUAUUGGGACUUCCUUGGUGGUCCAGUGGCUAGGGCUCCAGGCUCCAAAUGUAGGGGCCCAGGUUUGACCCCUGGCUUGGGAGCUAGAUCCUGCAUGCUCUAACUAAAGAUCCAGAACAGCCGAAUAAAUAAACUGAUUUUAAAUGCUCUCUAUUUCUUAAAGAAAAAAGCAAAAACCAUUAUUACUCUUCACAUUCCAUUUGUGUGUUUACUAUCCUUAUCAUCAAUCUGCAUAAAAAUAAUUUUAUUAAUUUUUAGAAGUGAUUGAGAAGUAUGCAUUUAGUACUUGGAGAGGGUACAUUAUAGUUGAAGAAGAAUGUGUUUUAUUUCAAGGAUUAUUGUUUAGUUCCUCAGUCGUGUCCAACUCUUUGUGAUGCUGUGGACUGUAGCACACCAGGCCUCCCUGUCCUUCACUAUCUCCAAGAGCCUGCUCAAACUGUCCAUUAAGUCGGUGAUGCCAUCCAACCAUCUCAUCCUAUGUCAUCCCCUUCUCCUC
rnacentral:lncRNA from 1 species